rnacentral:rRNA from 1 species
CCUACGGGUGGCAGCAGUGGGGAAUAUUGGGCAAUGGGCGCAAGCCUGACCCAGCAACGCCGCGUGAAGGAAGAAGGCUUUCGGGUUGUAAACUUCUUUUCUGAGGGACGAAGAAAGUGACGGUACCUCAGGAAUAAGCCACGGCUAACUACGUGCCAGCAGCCGCGGUAAUACGUAGGUGGCAAGCGUUAUCCGGAUUUAUUGGGUGUAAAGGGCGUGUAGGCGGGAAAGCAAGUCAGAUGUGAAAACUCAGGGCUCAACCCUGAGCCUGCAUUUGAAACUGUUUUUCUUGAGUGCUGGAGAGGCAAUCGGAAUUCCGUGUGUAGCGGUGAAAUGCGUAGAUAUCACGCAGAACUCCGAUCGCGAAGGCAGCCUACCGGCGCGCAACUGACGCUCAUGCACGAAAGCGUGGGUAUCGAACAGGAUUAGAUACCCUUGUAGUC